AGUCACCUCUGGCCCGUCAAGCCCUCCCAAUGCCCGGCAGCUAGCACGAAGCCCCUGUUCUCCCGUGCGCCCCUCGUGGUGGCCGGGAAGGGGGCAGAGAGCCGCGCUUACCCCUGAACGCAGAGGACCAUGUCCCCGCGGCAGCGGCGACUCCGGAGUGGGGACUCGGCUGGACGGCGGCGGCUGGAGGGAACCAGUGGGCGCGGAGCGCGUGCUGGAUUUCCAAGAACUUUCCAGGAAAACGGGGCGGGGCCCCGCGAGCUGACCAAUCGCGACGCUGAAGGUGGAGCCGAGCGGUCGGGGAGGGCCAAUAGCAGCGCGUGGACCCGGGGCUGAAGCUACCCAGAGGGGCAGGGAGUACUUGCUGCAUUUGAUCCUCUACAACUGGUGUUGCUCCCGUUAUGCGGACAGAAGACAGCCCCAGGGAACAAAUGCUAGGAAAUGGCAGGGUGAGAAAACUGAGGCAUGGAGAGGUUACAAUAUAACUUAGAUCUCCCAGCUGGCAAGUAAUGGUUUAAGCCAGGAGCCUACACACUUCCUCCUACUUCCUCUAUGGGU
rnacentral:lncRNA from 10 species